ensembl:lncRNA
GGAGAGGGCUGGAGAGAGCGUGAGGGCAGGGUCUAGCAUCUGUAACCCUGGCCCCCUCAUUCCCACCAGCAGGCCAAGGGCAUCGACAGUAGUCAGGCACCCCAGACAGGCCAGGGUGAGGAGGAGGAGAAGUGGAUCUGAGAAGAGGACAGUGGUCUGUGAAGGGGCUGGAUCUGAGGCUGGGAUUGGGUCUGAGGCUGGGAUUGGGUCUGAGGCUGGGAUUGGGUCUGAGGCUGGGAUUGGGGAGAUGACUGGUUCUAGUGUUACUCUCUCUGUGGACUCCAGGGUGAGGAGGAGGAGAAGUGGAUCUAAGAAGAGGACAGUGUUCUGGUCUGAGGACCAGGAUGUACAACCAGACUCCAGGGUGAAGUUUCCCCUCAGUACAGAUCUAGGAUCAGCUCCCCCAAUUCUAAUUUUAACUACUAGUGACAAAAAUCCAGAACUGACCCAAUAUCAGCAUCUAGGGGCAACUUCACCUCCCUACACCGUACAACCAGACUGUGCCACUGCAAUAAGUGAUCACCCACUUCCACGGACCAAUACCUCAACUUCAAUCAGGACAAUAAAUGGUAAACAGGUUGAAUUUAAUACCAAGUAGCAACUCACACAACUCCGAUGGCACCAAACAUCUGUAUGCAAGGGUGUGAAUCCACAUUAAAAUAUUGUACAGACCAGAUACAUCUCAAUGAUUAUUGUUGCCUGAGUAAGAUGUGAUGAGUUUUGGCAUGUAUCUACAGAUUGUGUAUCUAAUGUGUGAUCAAUACUACAAGUUUCUUCACUUUUUUAAUGUUUUUUUGUGUGUGGAUGUGACUGAGUAAAUUGCCAAAUGUCUUUCGUCUAGAGAGACAGUACAAGUUUAUCAUGUUCAGGGGCAAUAAGUUGUUUUAUAAAGAUAUAGUAUAUCUUUUGAAUACUACAUCAAGUUAUGUCUGUAUUUAUCCUUUAGUUAUUUAUGUAUUAAUUUAUUAAUGUAGCUAUUUACAUAACCGUGGGAAGUGGUUUUGGGGGGGUCGGGGUGCUGCAGGUUUUUCCCCUCACUAGAGACUAAUGGUUUAGGGGAUUGGGGUGCUGCAGGUUUUUCCCCCUCGCUAGAGACUAAUGGUUUGGGGGUCGGGGUGCUGCAGGUUUUCACCCUCGCUAGAGACUAAUGGUUUAGGGGGAUUGGGGUGCUGCAUGUUUUUCCCCUCACUAGAGACUAAUGGUUUGGGGGGGUCGGAGUGCUGCAGGUUUUUCCCCUCACUAGAGACUAAUGGUUUGGGGGUGUCGGGUGCUGCAGGUUUUUCCCCUCGCUAGAGACUAAUGGUUUGCUAGUACAGGACUGGUAAAUGCUGUGACUUCUGGCACUACUUUGGUGACAUAUUUUUUACUAAAUGUAUUUGAGUGUUCACCAGCAUUUGUAACUUGAGUCUGAUUUAAUUAUCUGUACAAAACAGUUAAUCUGAUAAUACCUGUGGAAUAUAAAAAUACUUGCUUGAUAUGUUUUCCAGUUUCUUAAAAUGCAACUUCUUUCUAAAUAAAAACUCAAAUGGUUAAUUUCAU